rnacentral:rRNA from 1 species
CCUACGGGUGGCAGCAGUGAGGAAUCUUCCACAAUGGACGAGAGUCUGAUCCAGCCACGCAGCGUGAAGGAUGACUGCUCUAUGGGUUGUAAACUUCUUUUAUAUGGGAAUAAAAUGUUGCAAGUGUCGGACCUUGUUUGUACCAUAUUAACUAGGAUCGGCUAACUACGUGCCAGCAGCCGAGGUAAUACGGAGGAUCCGAGCGUUGUCCGGAUUUAUUGGGUUGAAAGGGAGCGGAGGUGGUUUGUUAAGUCAGUUGUGAAAGUUUUCGGCUCAACCGUAGAAUUGCAGUUGAAACUGGCAGACUUGAGUGCAGUAGAGGUGGGCGGAACUCGAGGUGUAGCGGUGAAAUGCGUAGAUAUCACGAAGAACACCGGUUGCGAAGGCAGUUCACUGGACUGCAACUGACGCUGAGGCUCGAAAGUGUGGGUAGCGAACAGGAUUAGAUACCCUAGUAGUC